AAAGAGUGGUAAAAGGCUAACACAAAUCGAAUUGAGCAAGCCUAUUUGAUAGUGUUUAUUGUGCCUAACAAACGGUAAAACUGCUUAAAAUUAAAUAGUUCCCUGCCAACACCCCUGCCAGAAUUGAUGAUCUGGCAGGGGUGUUUUU
rnacentral:sRNA from 1 species